rnacentral:misc_RNA from 1 species
CAGCCGCGGUAUUCCAGCUCCAAUAGCGUAUAUUAAAGUUGUUGCAGUUAAAAAGCUCGUAGUUGAAUUUCGGGAUCAAAUUGUCGGUCGUGCCUCGGUACGCACUGGUAUUAUUGGUUCCUACCUUCUGAAGAACCGCGAUGUCAUUAAUUUGGUGUCGUGGGGAAUCAGGACUGUUACUUUGAAAAAAUUAGAGUGUUUAAAGCAGGCUUACGCUUGAAUACAUUAGCAUGGAAUAAUGAAAUAGGACGUUUGAUUCUAUUUUGUUGGUUUCUAGGAUUGACGUAAUGAUUAAUAGGGAUAGUUGGGGGCAUUAGUAUUCAAUUGUCAGAGGUGAAAUUCUUGGAUUUAUUGAAGACUAACUACUGCGAAAGCAUUUGCCAAGGAUGUUUUCAUUAAUCAAGAACGAAAGUUAGGGGAUCGAAGACGAUCAGAUACCGUCGUAGUCUUAACCAUAAACUAUGCCGACUAGGGAUCGGAUGAUGUUAAUUUUUUAAUGACUCAUUCGGCGCCUUACG